UACAGAGGGGGCAAGCGUUGUUCGGAAUUACUGGGCGUAAAGGGCGCGUAGGCGGCCUGCUAAGUCGAACGUGAAAUCCCCGGGCUCAACCCGGGAACUGCGUCCGAUACUGGCAGGCUUGAAUCCGGGAGAGGGAUGCGGAAUUCCAGGUGUAGCGGUGAAAUGCGUAGAUAUCUGGAGGAACACCGGUGGCGAAGGCGGCAUCCUGGACCGGCAUUGACGCUGAGGAGCGAAAGCGUGGGGAGCGAACAGG
rnacentral:rRNA from 1 species